rnacentral:rRNA from 2 species
UGCAAGUCGAACGAAGUUCCCGUUGAUUGACGUGCUUGCACUGAUUUCAACAUUGGAACGAGUGGCGAACUGGUGAGUAACACGUGGAAAACCUGCCCAGAAGCAGGGGAUAACACUUGGAAACAGGUGCUAAUACCGUAUAACAACAAAAACCGCAUGGUUUUUGUUUGAAAGGUGGCUUCGGCUAUCACUUCUGGAUGGUUCCGCGGCGCAUUAGCUUGUUGGUGGGGUAACGGCUCACCAAGGCGAUGAUGCGUAGCCGACCUGAGAGGGUAAUCGGCCACAUUGGGACUGAGACACGGCCCAGACUCCUACGGGAGGCAGCAGUAGGGAAUCUUCCACAAUGGACGCAAGUCUGAUGGAGCAAUGCCGCGUGAGUGAAGAAGGGUUUCGGCUCGUAAAACUCUGUUGUUGAAGAAGAACGGGUGUCAGAGUAACUGUUGACAUCGUGACGGUAUUCAACCAGAAAGCCACGGCUAACUACGUGCCAGCAGCCGCGGUAAUACGUAGGUGGCAAGCGUUGUCCGGAUUUAUUGGGCGUAAAGCGAGCGCAGGCGGUUUCUUAAGUCUGAUGUGAAAGCCUUCGGCUUAACCGAAGAAGUGCAUCGGAAACUGGGGAACUUGAGUGCAGAAGAGGACAGUGGAACUCCAUGUGUAGCGGUGGAAUGCGUAGAUAUAUGGAAGAACACCAGUGGCGAAAGGCGGCUGUCUAGUCUGCAACUGACGCUGAGGCUCGAAAGCAUGGGUAGCGAACAGGAUUAGAUACCCUGGGUAGUCCAUGCCGUAACGAUGAGUGCUAGGUGUGGAGGGUUUCGCCCUUCAGUGCCGCAGCUAACGCAUAGCACUCCGCCUGGGGGAGUACGAC